GACGAACGCUGGCGGCGUGCUUAACACAUGCAAGUCGAACGGAAAGGCCCUGCUUUUGUGGGGUGCUCGAGUGGCGAACGGGUGAGUAACACGUGAGUAACCUGCCCUUGACUUUGGGAUAACUUCAGGAAACUGGGACUAAUACCGGAUAGGAGCUCCUGCUGCAUGGUGGGGGUUGGAAAGUUUCGGCGGUUGGGGAUGGACUCGCGGCUUAUCAGCUUGUUGGUGGGGUAGUGGCUUACCAAGGCUUUGACGGGUAGCCGGCCUGAGAGGGUGACCGGCCACAUUGGGACUGAGAUACGGCCCAGACUCCUACGGGAGGCAGCAGUGGGGAAUAUUGCACAAUGGGCGGAAGUCUGAUGCAGCAACGCCGCGUGCGGGAUGACGGCCUUCGGGUUGUAAACCGCUUUCGCCUGUGACGAAGCGUGAGUGACGGUAAUGGGUAAAGAAGCACCGGCUAACUACGUG
rnacentral:rRNA from 1 species